CCCCUCUCAGGAUCGCAUCGGGAGAGUUUCCAAUACUCUACCAGUCUCGGCGCCGGGAUGGAGAGUCAAGGAGAGGACUACCCAUUCCAUUCCUGGCUUGGGCAGUGACUAGUGAGUGGAAGGCAAUCUGCUACAAGU